rnacentral:rRNA from 1 species
UACGGAGGGUGCAAGCGUUGUCCGGAUUUAUUGGGUUUAAAGGGUGCGUAGGCGGCUCUGUAAGUCAGCGGUGAAAUCCCAGGGCUCAACCCUGGAACUGCCGUUGAUACUGCAGGGCUUGAGUUCGGUUAAGGCGGGCGGAACUGGUGGUGUAGCGGUGAAAUGCAUAGAUACCACCAAGAACCCCGAUUGCGUAGGCAGCUCGCUGGGCCGAAACUGACGCUGAGGCACGAAAGCGUGGGGAGCGAACAGG